rnacentral:tRNA from 1 species
AGGGCUGUUAUACGUGUUGCUAACACGCUAUCCCC